UGGGGAAUAUUGCACAAUGGGCGCAAGCCUGAUGCAGCCAUGCCGCGUGUAUGAAGAAGGCCUUCGGGUUGUAAAGCACUUUCAGCGGGGAGGAAGGGAGUAAAGUUAAUACCUUUGCUCAUUGACGUUACUCGCAGAAGAAGCACCGGCUAACUCCGUGCCAGCAGCCGCGGUAAUACGGAGGGUGCAAGCGUUAAUCGGAAUUACUGGGCGUAAAGCGCACGCAGGCGGUUUGUUAAGUCAGAUGUGAAAUCCCCGGGCUCAACCUGGGAACUGCAUCUGAUACUGGCAAGCUUGAGUCUCGUAGAGGGGGGUAGAAUUCCAGGUGUAGCGGUGAAAUGCGUAGAGAUCUGGAGGAAUACCGGUGGCGAAGGCGGCCCCCUGGGCGAAGACUGACGCUCAGGUGCGAAAGCGUGGGGAGCAAACAGG
rnacentral:rRNA from 1 species